rnacentral:rRNA from 1 species
GGGACACGUGGUAUCCUGUCUGAAUAUGGGGGGACCAUCCUCCAAGGCUAAAUACUCCUGACUGACCGAUAGUGAACCAGUACCGUGAGGGAAAGGCGAAAAGAACCCCGGCGAGGGGAGUGAAAAAGAACCUGAAACCGUGUACGUACAAGCAGUGGGAGCACCUUCGGGUGUGACUGCGUACCUUUUGUAUAAUGGGUCAGCGACUUAUAUUCUGUAGCAAGGUUAACCGUAUAGGGGAGCCGAAGGGAAACCGAGUCUUAACUGGGCGUUAAGUUGCAGGGUAUAGACCCGAAACCCGGUGAUCUAGCCAUGGGCAGGUUGAAGGUUGGGUAACACUAACUGGAGGACCGAACCGACUAAUGUUGAAAAAUUAGCGGAUGACCUGUGGCUGGGGGUGAAAGGCCAAUCAAACCGGGAGAUAGCUGGUUCUCCCCGAAAGCUAUUUAGGUAGCGCCUCGUGAACUCAUCUUCGGGGGUAGAGCACUGUUUCGGCUAGGGGGCCAUCCCGGCUUACCAACCCGAUGCAAACUACGAAUACCGAAGAAUGUUAUCACGGGAGACACACGGCGGGUGCUAACGUCCGUCGUGAAGAGGGAAACAACCCAGACCGCCAGCUAAGGUCCCAAAGUCAUGGUUAAGUGGGAAACGAUGUGGGAAGGCACAGACAGCCAGGAUGUUGGCUUAGAAGCAGCCAUCAUUUAAAGAAAGCGUAAUAGCUCACUGGUCGAGUCGGCCUGCGCGGAAGAUGUAACGGGGCUAAACCAUGCACCGAAGCUGCGGCAGCGACACUAUGUGUUGUUGGGUAGGGGAGCGUUCUGUAAGCCGUUGAAGGUGUGCUGUGAGGCAUGCUGGAGGUAUCAGAAGUGCGAAUGCUGACAUAAGUAACGAUAAAGCGGGUGAAAAGCCCGCUCGCCGGAAGACCAAGGGUUCCUGUCCAACGUUAAUCGGGGCAGGGUGAGUCGACCCCUAAGGCGAGGCCGAAAGGCGUAGUCGAUGGGAAACAGGUUAAUAUUCCUGUACUUGGUGUUACUGCGAAGGGGGGACGGAGAAGGCUAUGUCAGCCGGGCGACGGUUGUCCCGGUUUAAGCAUGUAGGCGGA